UAAAAAUGACUACUGAUUGGCUC
rnacentral:piRNA from 1 species